rnacentral:rRNA from 1 species
UGUAUAAUGGGUCAGCGACUUAUAUUCUGUAGCAAGGUUAACCGAAUAGGGGAGCCGAAGGGAAACCGAGUCUUAACUGGGCGUUAAGUUGCAGGGUAUAGACCCGAAACCCGGUGAUCUAGCCAUGGGCAGGUUGAAGGUUGGGUAACACUAACUGGAGGACCGAACCGACUAAUGUUGAAAAAUUAGCGGAUGACUUGUGGCUGGGGGUGAAAGGCCAAUCAAACCGGGAGAUAGCUGGUUCUCCCCGAA